AGAUGAAAUCCUUCCAUUGAGUGUGGCGUGCUGAGAUCUCCACCUGAAGGCAUCCCCAGCUGGUAGAUCAGUCCUGGGAAGCGGAGGAGACCAAGAGAGGGGCCUCACCUGGGACAGACGUGGGCCCAGCCGGGGCUGGAAUCUGGGACUCCUGGCGGAGGCCCCUUUCCUUUGUUUCAGCUGAGCCCAGCACCUCUGCGGAGAUUGUGAAGCGUCUGAGCGGUAUCUGCGCUCAGAUUAUCCCUUUCCUGACCCAGGAGCAUCAGCAGCAGGUGCUCCAGGCCGUAGAGCGUGCCAAGCAGGUCACCGUGGGGGAGCUGAACAGCCUCAUCGGGGUGAGUCUAGCCCCUGCUCCGCCAUGGGGAGACGCCCACUCCCAGGUCCCUGGCACCCACCCAGGAGGUGUUAAAGCUGGGGGUGGUGUGUGGGCCUCGGCUCCGGCGGUCCUGGGAACCCUAGGGGCACAUGCUGUGCUUAGGUCCCAUCCCCUGUGUCUACCUCUUGGGCUGGGGACCGCUGGGCUCCUGCCGCCCCCCGCCCCGGCCCAUCCUGCCUCCUUUCUAGCAGCAGCAGCUCCAGCCGCUGUCCCACCACGCACCC
rnacentral:sRNA from 1 species